GUGAGUAAUGUGUUGCUGAAUGUUUGA
rnacentral:miRNA from 1 species